rnacentral:rRNA from 1 species
GUGACCUACGGGGCGCAGCAGUGGGGGAUAUUGCACAAUGGGGGGAACCCUGAUGCAGCGACGCCGCGUGGGUGAAGAAGCGCCUCGGCGCGUAAAGCCCUGUCAGCAGGGAAGAAAAAAGACGGUACCUGACUAAGAAGCCCCGGCUAACUACGUGCCAGCAGCCGCGGUAAUACGUAGGGGGCAAGCGUUAUCCGGAUUUACUGGGUGUAAAGGGAGCGUAGACGGCGCGGCAAGUCUGAAGUGAAAGGCAGGGGCUUAACCCCUGAACUGCUUUGGAAACUGCCAUGCUAGAGU